rnacentral:rRNA from 1 species
CUUGGGCGGACUCCCCGGGAACUGGGGCCAAUUUCCGAUAGGUGAAGAACCCUGGAAUGAGUCUUCGCCCAAAAGACGUUUGGGGCAUGCUUCUAGACGUUGCCCAAGGAUGGGGCCGCGGCCGAUCAGGUUGUUGGUGAGGUAACGGCUCACCAAGCCUAUUACCGGUACGGGCCGUGGGAGCGGUAGCCCGGAGAUGGGCACUGAGACAAGGGCCCAGGCCCUACGGGGCGCAGCAGUCGCGAAAACUUCGCAAUAAGCGAAAGCUUGACGGGGCUAUCCCGAGUGCCGUCUGCUGAGGAUGGCUUUUACCUAGUAUAGAUAGCUGGGGGAAUAAGGAGAGGGCAAGUCUGGUGUCAGCCGCCGCGGUAAUACCAGCUCUCCGAGUUGUGGGGAUAUUUAUUGGGCCUAAAGCAUCCGUAGCCGGCUGAACAAGUCCCCUGUUAAAUCCAGCGACGAAUCGUUGGCCUGCGGGGGAUACUGCUCGGCUAGGGGGCGGGAGAGGCCGUCGGUAUUCUUGGGGUAGGGGUGAAAUCCUAUAAUCCCAGGAGGACCACCAGUGGCGAAGGCUGUCGGCUAGAACGCGCCCGACGGUGAGGGAUGAAAGCUGGGGGAGCGAACCGGAUUAGAUACCCGGGUAGUCCCAGCUGUAAACGAUGCAGGCUAGGUGUUAGGGCGGCUACGUGCCGCUCUAGUGCCGCAGGGAAGCUGUUAAGCCUGCCGCCUGGGAGUACGGCCGCAAGGCUGAAACUUAAAGGAAUUGGCGGGGGAGCAC